UCACCUGUGCUCCUUAACGUCAUUCUGUGG
rnacentral:piRNA from 1 species